rnacentral:lncRNA from 1 species
UCCUCUAUACUUUCAUUCUCGUACGCAAGCAAUGCAAAUUUAAAUCAUUGAGAGGACAAGAUUUGAUGUGUGCCUAAAUUCAAACCAAGCAUGAAGUCUUAAUAAUCGGCAAACAUAUUCUCACUUACUGGCUAAGAAUUCAAGACAAAUACAGCCAACAAAUUCUCUACCUAAAUGAUCAACAGAUUUGCCUUCUUAUCAGUUGAGAGCCACAAAUUCCAUGUCAAAAGUUAAUUCAACCGAGCAAAUAUAUUAAACGGACACAAAUACCAAAUACGAAUAAGUAAAUAAUAGAGUAAUAUUAC